rnacentral:misc_RNA from 1 species
UUUUAAACCCGAGAAAAACGGACAUGCUUUUGCCAAAGAUUUGGUAGAACAAAUCGUGAAAAUGAAUCACGGAACUUACC